UACGUAGGUGGCAAGCGUUAUCCGGAUUUAUUGGGUUUAAAGGGUGCGUAGGCGGGUUAUCAAGUCAGCGGUAAAAUCGUGGAGCUCAACUCCAUCCAGCCGUUGAAACUGAUGAUCUUGAGUGGGCGAGAAGUAUGCGGAAUGCGUGGUGUAGCGGUGAAAUGCAUAGAUAUCACGCAGAGCUCCGAUUGCGAAGGCAGCAUACCGGCGCCCGACUGACGCUGAAGCACGAAAGCGUGGGUAGCAAACAGG
rnacentral:rRNA from 1 species